UACUGAUGAAAAAGGAAUUUCCCUCUCAGAAGAAAGCAGUCAUAGCAUGAAGAUAAAGUGUCAUAUAACUGGGAAAGCAGGGAUAUACGGAACUAAAGACAACCUCUUGUUUGCAGGAACUGGGGUUCAGUUGGCACAGUAAGAAGAAUACUGACGCACACUUAUGGGAGGAUAUGGAUUAGUCUUUCAAAGGUUGGAAGCUGCCCCGGCUGUCAUUGCUCUGAAGUGGUAUACAAAGAGGAGACCAAUCAACAUUGCUUAUGAAGACCUUGAUAUAAGAGGACCAGGUCUAGCUAUCUUUUAGCAACUUCACAACAGCAGACCUUUAAGGAACUUGAUAGAAACAAUACCUCCUUCCAAUGACUCAGAAGGAAUGUUUAUUACAGCAUCUUCAAUCAGGUCUCCCUCCUUCCAUAAAUAUAUCUGUACAGCAUCGGGGAGGCAGGACCAUUAUAUACAGGUAAGUGAAGA